CUCAAUGUGUCUUGGCUGCCUCGUGGUCAGGAAGUCAUGGAGGGAGACUAGUGCCUAGUGUUUGCGGAACCUGAAAACUUCCUUAAGCUGCAGUUGCUGUGCUGGCCUCCUAGGAUAUUCAGCAGCUGGUCCUGUCACCUGCCAGAUCAGAGGUCUCCAUAUGCUCAGUCAAAUCUCCAUAACUGUAAAUCAACACUAAGAGCACUGGAUAGUUAAGGUCAAGGAGACUCUCACAAAGGAUCCAGACCUUGAUGUGAAAUUUCAAGAAGAAUUCAAACUUUGCUCUUCACAGAGACCCUGGGAGAAGGAAAACAACAAGAAUGAGUGUGUCUCUGGUAAAUACACCACAGAAAAUCAUUGCAUACGUGGAAAGUAUAGGAAGGUCUUGGAUCAAGACAGCCAGUACAUUGUCCAUGAACACAUGAAUAUUCAAGAGAAGUCUUCUAAAUGGGACAAGCUUAGCAAGGUGAUUCUUGAAUCCCCCCAAUGUACACCUUACAAAACUUAUCACGGCUCUCUUCAAUACUCGAACAAAAAAAGACUUAAGCCCAGGAACACAAAGAAGUUUGCAAAUACAAUGACUCU
rnacentral:lncRNA from 1 species